rnacentral:rRNA from 1 species
AUACGUAUGUCGCAAGCGUUAUCCGGAAUUAUUGGGCGUAAAGCGAGUCUAGGCGGCUUGUUAAGUCAGAUGUGAAAAUGCGGGGCUCAACUCCGUAUUGCGUUUGAAACUGGCAAGCUGGAGUACUAGAGAGGUGGGCGGAACUACAAGUGUAGAGGUGAAAUUCGUAGAUAUUUGUAGGAAUGCCGAUAGUGAAGACAGCUCACUGGACAGAUACUGACGCUAAAGCUCGAAAGCGUGGGGAGCGAACAGGAUUAGAAACCCCGGUAGUCC